AUUGAACGCUGGCGGCAGGCCUAACACAUGCAAGUCGAACGGUAACAGAAAGCAGCUUGCUGACUUGCUGACGAGGGGCGGACGGGUGAGCAAUGUCUGGGAAACUGCCUGAUGGAGGGGGAUAACUACUGGAAACGGAAGCUAAUACCGCAUAACGUCGCAAGACCAAAGAGGGGGACCUUCGGGCCUCUUGCCAUCGGAUGUGCCCAUAGGGGAUUAGCUAGUUGGUGGGGUAACGGCUCACCUAGCCGACGAUCCCUAGCUGGUCUGAGAGGAUGACCAGCCACACUGGAACUGAGACACGGUCCAGACUCCUACGGGAGGCAGCAGUGGGGAAUAUUGCACAAUGGGCGCAAGCCUGAUGCAGCCAUGCCGCGUGUAUGAAGAAGGCCUUCGGGUUGUAAAGUACUUUCAGCGGGGAGGAAGGGAGUAAAGCUAAUACCUGUGCUCAUUGACGUUACCCGCAGAAGAAGCACCGGCUAACUCCGUG
rnacentral:rRNA from 1 species